GCGUGGUGUAGCUCAGUUGGUUAGAGCAUGUCGCUAUUAACCACAAGGUCGAAGGUUCAAUUCCUUCCAAUGGCA